rnacentral:rRNA from 1 species
AUACGGAGGGUGCAAGCGUUACUCGGAAUCACUGGGCGUAAAGCGCGCGCAGGCGGGCUGAUAAGUUGGAUGUGAAAGCCUACGGCUCAACCGUAGAACUGCAUCCAAAACUGUCAGUCUAGAGUCUGGGAGGGGAAGAUGGAAUUAGUUGUGUAGGGGUAAAAUCCGUAGAGAUAACUAGGAAUACCAAAAGCGAAGGCGAUCUUCUGGAACAGUACUGACGCUGAGGCGCGAAAGCGAGGGGAGCAAACAGGAUUAGAUACCCGAGUAGUCC